AUCACUCCGCUGAAGUUAGCAGCACAUUUUGCAGCAGCACAUUCCUCACUUCAAAUUGAUUAAAUUUUUGUGGUCGAAGCCUUAUAACAAGGGUGGGGCUGGAUUAGAACUCGGGUGGAGCUGGUUGCUGCGCUCGAGCGAUCAUAAUUACUGUUUAUACCGAUAGAUUAUAAGAUGUUCUUUUAUAGGACAAAAAGAGCAAGACAAAAAGUGUAGGUCAAGAGAAUAAUAUUUUGUGACUUUUUUUGAUAGCUACGUUAAAGAAUUAGAUCUAAUACAAAAGAACUAUCAGGCACCAUAGUAUCUAUGCAGCUCAGGCACUUGACUAUAAGUGCAAGAUGAAGAUUGUUUACAUCACAUAUCUGAUAUCAUGAAUUGUGACAUUUUAAGCAUCAUUAUUUUAUUAUUAUUACUAUAUAAUGUUUUACAACACACAGGACAAGUGGAAGGGAGAGUAAGAUAUGAGACUUAGAGAGGGUUGAGUUUGUUCCACAGUCGGACAAUUCUAUUGAAAUAAAUGUAAAAACGAGUAUGAUGUUUAAGUAUAGUUGUGAAUCAGUUUAUGGA